CUGGGAAAACCCUAAAUGAUGUCACAAAGAGUCCAACAUGACUAAAAGGACUCAGCAACAAUAGUCUUGUGGUUGUUUUUAUCUAGUCCUUGCUGUGGAGUAUCUGACAUUUCUAUUUUCUAGAAAGUCAUGAAUCCUCCAUUCUUUCAUCCUAAACCUCUUUUGUUUCCAUGGGGAGGCAAUGUUGCAUACAGGCAAGACUUAGAGUCUAUUCUAGAUUGAGUCUCACCCUAGGAUCAUAAUUCUAGAAGUAGAAAAAAGAAAGGGAAGCCCAGGGAAGUUAACUGACUCAUCCAAGCUCAUCCAAGGUAACACAGGUAAUGUCACUGAUAGUGACUCAGAAAACUUGGUUCCAGUUUUGUUCAAGACCUGGGAUAGAUUCCAGGUAAAUUAAAUUCAUCUAGGGCAGGUGGGAGGCUUGAAGCAGAACAAUGUGAGAUCACAAUAUUGUACAGCAGAAAGAAUGUUGGAUUAAAAUUCCAGGAAUCAAGUUCAAGUCUUAGAUCUGCCACACACUAUUUGUGUGACCUUGGGCAAGUCACUUCAAUUCCUUGGGCCACACUUUCCAUCAUUAAAAUGAAGGGCUUGGACUUGAUGACUUAUAAUAUCUCUUGUAGCUCUAAAUAGAUGAUCUAGGUAAGUAUCUCUCUUAUUUCCUGAGCCAUUAGAGCAAUCUUGAUUUGGUUCUAAAAUCCAUGUUAAAUACACCUCUCUUUAUCAAUGUCACUCUAUCAGAAUUGAAAAACAGUUGGGCAAAGUGAAAGAAAACUUCCUUUUCUCCAAGAAACACAAGCCCUUGCUGGCCAUCCAGGGAUGCAAGUGAGUUUGUUUAAAAUAGACUGUUGUUCUCUGUCCACAGGUGUCCAACCCUAAGGGGCAAAUUAGUGUCACCAUGGAAGAAAAAAGGCUAGGGCUUAAUUGGAGGGAUCCUGAGCCUCCUACCCUAUCUCUGAGAGAACAUCAAAUGAGAGAAAAGAAACAGGAUACAUCUCCAGGCAAAUGGAAGUCCUAGGAGGGAGCGUUAGUAAACACUGAACAUUCUGCACUAACUGCACUUAAUCUAAUUACUUUAAAGGUGAAUGGAACAUUCAAACUUCAUUUACAUAACAGCAGUCCUGAUGUUUGUACAUUGUGCAAUCAAUUAAAAUGAACAUAUGCAGGGGCUGAAAAUGAAACAUUGAUAAAACAGGAUUAAUCAAAAGCUUAUCAUGAGCAAUAUCACUCUUAAUCGGAUUGGAAGAACUCUGUAGGGCCAUUCCAAAACUGAUGAGUUGAAGGCUAUAUUUAAAUUGUUAAUCACUGAAUUAAUUGGUGCCAUUAAAUCUCCUAUGUUCUGACUACUGCUUUUCCCCCUGAGGUCAGAAUCUCCUUCCUUGUCAGGCCAUUUGUCCAUGACACAAAACAUCAUCAUCAUUCUUGUCUCUAUCACCAUGACCAUCAAACAUUUUUAAGUGCAUACUUGGAUACUUUGAUGGAGCUAUGAUCUCCUCAGGGUGGGUACUCUUGUCUGACUUUUGUCUUUAUUCUUCCAUAAAUCCAACACAAGGAAUUCACUGAAGACAAUGAGGGCUUUUUUCCUUCCUUUUCUGUUUCUCUUGGUGUUAUUUGGAUAUUCAUGGACCAUGUG
rnacentral:lncRNA from 1 species